UACGUAGGGUGCGAGCGUUAUCGGAAUUACUGGCGUAAAGCGUGCGCAGGCGGUUCGCUGUGUCCGAUGUGAAAGCCUCGGGCUUAACCUGGGAAUGGCAUUGGAAACUGGCGGGCUUGAGUGCGGCAGAGGGGGGUGGAAUUCCGCGUGUAGCAGUGAAAUGCGUAGAGAUGCGGAGGAACACCGAUGGCGAAGGCAGCCCCCUGGGUCGACACUGACGCUCAGGCACGAAAGCGUGGGGAGCAAACAGG
rnacentral:rRNA from 1 species